rnacentral:hammerhead_ribozyme from 1 species
AUCCAGUUGACGAGUCGAAAAUAGGACGGAACGCGUGUCCCGGAU